rnacentral:rRNA from 1 species
AUUGAACGCUGGCGGCAUGCCUUACACAUGCAAGUCGAACGGCAGCACGGGAGCAAUCCUGGUGGCGAGUGGCGAACGGGUGAGUAAUAUAUCGGAACGUGCCCAGUAGUGGGGGAUAACGCAGCGAAAGCUGCGCUAAUACCGCAUACGAUCUAUGGAUGAAAGCGGGGGACCGAAAGGCCUCGCGCGAUUGGAGCGGCCGAUGUCAGAUUAGGUAGUUGGUGGGGUAAAGGCUCACCAAGCCAACGAUCUGUAGCUGGUUUGAGAGGAUGAUCAGCCACACUAGAACUGAGACACGGUCCAGACUCCUACGGGAGGCAGCAGUGGGGAAUAUUGGACAAUGGGCGCAAGCCUGAUCCAGCCAUGCCGCGUGUGUGAAGAAGGCCUUCGGGUUGUAAAGCACUUUCAGUAGGGAGGAAGCGUUGUGUGUUAAUAGUACACAGCGUUGACGUUACCUACAGAAGAAGCACCGGCUAACUCUGUGCCAGCCGCCGCCGUAAAAC